rnacentral:rRNA from 1 species
CCUACGGGGGGCUGCAGUGGGGAAUAUUGGACAAUGGGGGGAACCCUGAUCCAGCCAUGCCGCGUGUGUGAAGAAGGCCCUCGGGUUGUAAAGCACUUUCAGUGAGGAAGAACGCCUGGUGGUUAAUACCCAUCCGGAAAGACAUCACUCACAGAAGAAGCACCGGCUAACUCCGUGCCAGCAGCCGCGGUAAUACGGAGGGUGCGAGCGUUAAUCGGAAUUACUGGGCGUAAAGCGCGCGUAGGUGGCUUGAUAAGCCGGUUGUGAAAGCCCCGGGCUCAACCUGGGAACGGCAUCCGGAACUGUCAAGCUAGAGUGCAGGAGAGGAAGGUAGAAUUCCCGGUGUAGCGGUGAAAUGCGUAGAGAUCGGGAGGAAUACCAGUGGCGAAGGCGGCCUUCUGGACUGACACUGACACUGAGGUGCGAAAGCGUGGGUAGCAAACAGGAUUAGAUACCCGGGUAGUC